CCCUUAGAUGAAGAAGAUUUAAUAGCUUAUAUUCUGAAUGGACUUGAUGAGGAUUUUGAACCUGUUGUCUCUGCUGUUGUGGCCCGAAAUGAGUCGGUCACGAUGGCAGAAGUCUACU
rnacentral:snoRNA from 1 species